AUGGAUUUUAUCACAGGAUUGCCCAAAACACGUUCAGGCUAUGACUCGAUUUGGGUUGUAGUCGACCGUUUGACAAAGGUAGCUCAUUUCAUUCCCGUGAAGACUACCUAUACCAGUGCAAAGUUGGCAAAGAUAUACAUGACUAGAAUUGUUUGUCUGCAUGGAGUUCCUAGGAGCAUAGUAUCAGAUAGAGGAACCCAAUUUACCUCAAAGUUCUGGAAUCAGUUGCAUGAAACUUUGGGAACCAGACUGGAGUUUAGCACAGCUUUCCACCCGUAA
rnacentral:rRNA from 1 species